GUAUGGCCCUGAAACAAUUUGCUUAAAGUGAUAGUUACCUCUAAUGAAAAGAUACAUAACGGAAAAUGUCAGCAACCUUUUAAAUCCUCCACAACUUAUCAUGAAGACCGUCUUGUGCAAAGUGCUCGUGGUGAAGCAACUUCUUUUGUCUCCGAUUCCUCCUAAAUUAGGUGGAUUCUUUACCAGCUGACCUACCAUGGAGAGAAAUUGCAGCUUG
ensembl:lncRNA